GCCAGGCGUGGUGGCUCACACCUGUAAUCCUGGCACCUUGGGAGGCUGAGGCGGGUGGAUCACUUCAGGUCAGGAGUUUGAGAGCAACCUGGCUAACAUAGUGAAACUCCGUCUCUACUAAAAUACAAAAAUUAGCCGGGUUUGGUGGCAGGUGCCUGUAAUCCCAGUUACUUGUUAAGCUCAGGCAGGAGAAUCACUUGAACCUGGGAGGUGGAGGUUGCACUCCAGCCACUGCACUCCAGCCUGGGUGACAGAGUGAGACUCCAUCUCA
ensembl:misc_RNA Metazoa_SRP Metazoan signal recognition particle RNA